GAUGAACGCUGGCGGCAUGCCUAAUACAUGCAAGUCGAACGAGAGGAAGGAAAGCUUGCUUUUCUGAAUCUAGUGGCGAACGGGUGAGUAACACGUAGGUAACCUGCCCAUGUGCCCGGGAUAACUUCUGGAAACGGAUGCUAAAACCGGAUAGGUAGCAGACAAGCAUUUGACUGCUAUUAAAGUGGCUAAGGCCAUGAACAUGGAUGGACCUGCGGUGCAUUAGCUAGUUGGUGAGGUAACGGCCCACCAAGGCGACGAUGCAUAGCCGGCCUGAGAGGGCGGACGGCCACAUCGGGACUGAGACACGGCCCAAACUCCUACGGGAGGCAGCAGUAGGGAAUUUUCGUCAAUGGGGGGAACCCUGAACGAGCAAUGCCGCGUGAGUGAGGAAGGUCUUCGGAUCGUAAAGCUCUGUUGUAAGAGAAAAAUGACAUUCAUAGGGAAUGAUGAGUGAGUGAUGGUAUCUUACCAGAAAGUCACGGCUAACUACGUGCCAGCAGCCGCCGUAAAAC
rnacentral:rRNA from 1 species